CCUACGGGGGGCAGCAGUGGGGAAUAUUGGACAAUGGGGGGAACCCUGAUCCAGCCAUGCCGCGUGUGUGAAGAAGGCCCUCGGGUUGUAAAGCACUUUCAGUGAGGAAGAACGCCUGGUGGUUAAUACCCAUCAGGAAAGACAUCACUCACAGAAGAAGCACCGGCUAACUCCGUGCCAGCAGCCGCGGUAAUACGGAGGGUGCGAGCGUUAAUCGGAAUUACUGGGCGUAAAGCGCGCGUAGGUGGCUUGAUAAGCCGGUUGUGAAAGCCCCGGGCUCAACCUGGGAACGGCAUCCGGAACUGUCAAGCUAGAGUGCAGGAGAGGAAGGUAGAAUUCCCGGUGUAGCGGUGAAAUGCGUAGAGUUCGGGAGGAAUACCAGUGGCGAAGGCGGCCUUCUGGACUGACACUGACACUGAGGUGCGAAAGCGUGGGUAGCAAACAGGAUUAGAUACCCGAGUAGUC
rnacentral:rRNA from 1 species